AGUGAACGCUGGCGGUAGGCCUAACACAUGCAAGUCGAACGGCAGCACAGUAAGAGCUUGCUCUUACGGGUGGCGAGUGGCGGACGGGUGAGGAAUACAUCGGAAUCUACUUUUUCGUGGGGGAUAACGUAGGGAAACUUACGCUAAUACCGCAUACGACCUACGGGUGAAAGCAGGGGAUCUUCGGACCUUGCGCGAUUGAAUGAGCCGAUGUCGGAUUAGCUAGUUGGCGGGGUAAAGGCCCACCAAGGCGACGAUCCGUAGCUGGUCUGAGAGGAUGAAAAGCCACACGGGAAUGGAGAAAGGGGCCAAAACCCCAGGGGAGGCAGAAGUGGGGAAAUUUGGAAAAGGGGGGAAAGCCUGAUCCAGCCAUACCGGGUGGGGGAAGAAGGCCUUGGGGUUGAAAAGCCCUUUUGUUGGGAAAAAAAAGCAGCAGGUUAAUACCCCGCUGUUUUGACGGUACCAAAAGAAUAAGCACCGGCUAACUUCGU
rnacentral:rRNA from 1 species